UGAUCCUGGCUCAGAUUGAACGCUAGCGGGAUGCUUUACACAUGCAAGUCGAACGGCAGCGCGGACUUCGGUCUGGCGGCGAGUGGCGAACGGGUGAGUAAUGUAUCGGAACGUGCCUAGUAGCGGGGGAUAACUACGCGAAAGCGUAGCUAAUACCGCAUACGCCCUUUGGGGGAAAGCGGGGGACCUUCGGGCCUCGCACUAUUAGAGCGGCCGAUAUCGGAUUAGCUAGUUGGUGGGGUAAAGGCUCACCAAGGCGACACGAUCCGGUAGCCUGGUUGUGAGAGGACGACGAGCCACACUGGCCCACCACCCUGGGACUGAGACACGGCCCAGAGACUCCCUCACGGGAGGGCAGACCAGUUGGGGAAAUUUUGGAACAAUUGGGGGCCAACCCUGAUCCCAGCCAUCCCGCGCGUGUGGCGAAUGAAGGCCUUCCGGGUUGUAAAGGCACUUUUGGCAAGGAAAGAAACCGGCCUUGGAAUAAUACCUGAAGGCAACUGACCGGUACCUGGCAAGAAUAAAGCCACCGGGCUAACUACGUGGCCAGCAGCCCGCGCGGUAAUAACGUAGGGUNUGCAAGUCGCUUAAUCGGAAUUACUGGGCGUAAAGCCGUGCGGCAGGCGGUUCGGAAAGAAAGGAUGUGGAAAUCCCAGAAGCUUAACUUUGGGAACUGCAUUUUUAACUACCGGGCUAGAGUGGUGUCAGAGGGAGGUGGGAAUUCCGCGUGUAGCAGUGAAAUGCGUAGAGAUGCGGAGGAACACCGAUGGCGAAGGCAGCCUCCUGGGAUAACACUGACGCUCAUGCACGAAAGCGUGGGGAGCAAACAGGAUUAGAUACCUCUGGUAGUCCACGCCCUAAACGAUGUCAACUAGCUGUUGGGGCCCUUCGGGCCCUUGGUAGCGCAGCUAACGCGUGAAGUUGACCCGCCUUGGGGACGCAACGGUCGCAAGAUUAAAACUCAAAGGAAUUGACGGGGACCCGCACAAGCGGUGGAUGAUGUGGAUUAAUUCGAUGCAACGCGAAAAACCUUACCUACCCUUGACAUGUCUGGAAUGCCGAAGAGAUUUGGCAGUGCUCGCAAGAGAACUGGAACACAGGUGCUGCAUGGCUGUCGUCAGCUCGUGUCGUGAGAUGUUGGGUUAAGUCCCGCAACGAGCGCAACCCUUGUCAUUAGUUGCUACGAAAGGGCACUCUAAUGAGACUGCCGGUGACAAACCGGAGGAAGGUGGGGAUGACGUCAAGUCCUCAUGGCCCUUAUGGGUAGGGCUUCACACGUCAUACAAUGGUCGGGACAGAGGGUUGCCAAGCCGCGAGGUGGAGCUAAUCUCAUAAACCCGAUCGUAGUCCGGAUCGCAGUCUGCAACUCGACUGCGUGAAGUCGGAAUCGCUAGUAAUCGCGG
rnacentral:rRNA from 1 species